GAUGAAGAACGCAGCGAAAUGCGAUACGUAAUGUGAAUUGCAGAAUUCAGUGAAUCAUCGAGUCUUUGAACGCACAUUGCGCCCCCUGGUAUUCCGGGGGGCAUGCCUGUUCGAGCGUCAUUUCACCACUCAAGCCUCGCUUGGUAUUGGGCAACGCGGUCCGCCGCGUGCCUCAAAUCGACCGGCUGGGUCUUCUGUCCCCUAAGCGUUGUGGAAACUUUCGCUAAAGGGUGUUCGGGAGGCUACGCCGUAAAACAACCCCAUUUCUAAGGUUGACCUCGGAUCAGGUAGGGAUACCCGCUGAACUUAAGCAUAUCAAUAAGCGGAGGA
rnacentral:misc_RNA from 1 species